rnacentral:rRNA from 1 species
UCAGACGAUGCGUCAUGCAUAUCAAUAAGCGGAGGAAAAGAAACUAACAAGGAUUCCCCUAGUAACGGCGAGUGAAGCGGGAAGAGCUCAAAUUUGAAAUCUUAAAGGGUUUCCCUUUACGAAUUGUAGUUUAAAGAAGUGUUUUCUGUUGAGGUUUUGGUAAAAGCUCUUUGGAAUAGGACAUCAUAGAGGGUGAGAAUCCCGUAUUUGACCUUUACUUUCAACUUUGUGAUACACUUUCAAAGAGUCGGAUUGUUUGGGAAUGCAGUCCAAAAUGGGUGGUAAAUUUCAUCUAAAGCUAAAUAUUGGCGAGAGACCGAUAGCGAACAAGUACCGUGAGGGAAAGAUGAAAAGAACUUUGAAAAGAGAGUUAAACAGUACGUGAAAUUGUCAAAAGGGAAGCGUUUGACACCAGUGUUGUUUUUCUGAAAAUCAAUUAAAGAACUGUUUAUGCUAAGUUGUUUAGACUUUAUCAGCUAUCUGUUUAGUUUUGAGCUUUUCUUUAAUGCACUUUUCAGUUAACAAGUCAACAUCAAUUUCUUUUGCUGUAAAAAAGCUUGAGGAAGGUGGCUUGAGAUUCGUCUUAAGUGUUUAUAGCCUCUUGCCUAUGCAGUCGGAGAGAUUGAGGUCUGCAGCGUAGAUCCUUCGGGGCUAAAUGCAUUUGUGCUAAGUUAUAGCAUUUUAUAGACAACUUGUUGACUAUGAUUUGUCUUGUAGCUUACUCGCUUAUGUUAUUUUACCUACGCUUAGGAUGUUGAAUCUGUGCGAGACUAC